rnacentral:sRNA from 1 species
UCGAAUCCUGCACGACCCACCAAUCGCUAAGGUGGAAGCGGUAGUAAAACGUGAAGGAUAACGUUGCAUCAGCAACGGCCCGAAGGGCGAGACGAAGUCGAGUCAUCCUGCACGACCCACCA